CCUACGGUUGGCAGCAGUGGGGGAUAUUGGACAAUGGGGGGAACCCUGAUCCAGCGACGCCGCGUGAGUGAAGAAGUAUUUCGGUAUGUAAAGCUCUGUCAGCAGGGAAGAAAGAAAUGACGGUACCUGACCAAGAAGCCUCGGCUAACUACGUGCCAGCAGCCGCGGUAAUACGUAGGGGGCAAGCGUUAUCCGGAAUUACUGGGUGUAAAGGGAGCGUAGACGGUGAAGUAAGUCUGGAGUGAAAGGCCGGGGCUCAACCCCGGGACUGCUCUGGAAACUAUUUAACUUGAGUGCAGGGGAGGUAAGCGGAAUUCCUAGUGUAGCGGUGAAAUGCGUAGAUAUUAGGAGGAACACCAGUGGCGAAGGCGGCUUACUGGACUGUAACUGACGUUGAGGCUCGAAAGCGUGGGGAGCAAACAGGAUUAGAUACCCUGGUAGUC
rnacentral:rRNA from 1 species